AGCAGCCGCGGUAAUUCCAGCUCCAAUAGCGUAUAUUAAAGUUGUUGCAGUUAAAAAGCUCGUAGUUGAAUUUCGGGGUCAGUAGGUUGGUCAUGCCACUGGUAUGUACUGGUCUCACUGAUUCCUCCUUCCUGAUGAACUGUAAUGCCAUUAAUUUGGUGUUGCAGGGAAUCUGGACUGUUACUUUAGAAAAAUUAGAGUGUUUAAAGCAGGCUAACGCCUGAAUACAUUAGCAUGGAAUAAUGAAAUAGGACGUCCGAUCCUAUUUUGUUGGUUUCUAGGAUUGACGUAAUGAUUAAUAGGGAUAGUUGGGGGCAUUAGUAUUCAGUUGUCAGAGGUGAAAUUCUUGGAUUUAUUGAAGACUAACUACUGCGAAAGCAUUUGCCAAGGAUGUUUUCAUUAAUCAAGAACGAAAGUUAGGGGAUCGAAGACGAUCAGAUACCGUCGUAGUCUUAA
rnacentral:rRNA from 1 species